rnacentral:rRNA from 1 species
ACGAAGGGGGCUAGCGUUGUUCGGAUUAACUGGGCGUAAAGCGCACGUAGGCGGAUCUUUAAGUCAGGGGUGAAAUCCCGAGGCUCAACCUCGGAACUGCCUUUGAUACUGGAGAUCUCGAGUUCGGGAGAGGUGAGUGGAACUGCGAGUGUAGAGGUGAAAUUCGUAGAUAUUCGCAAGAACACCAGUGGCGAAGGCGGCUCACUGGCCCGAUACUGACGCUGAGGUGCGAAAGCGUGGGGAGCAAACAG